rnacentral:pre_miRNA from 1 species
GAUGAGGUAGUAGUUUGUAUAGUUUUAGGAUCACACCAGAUCUGGGAGAUAACUAUACAGUCUACUGUCUUUC